CCAAAAUGGGUUUGUACCCUAAAUGGGUUUACCCAGGUGUGUUCUCCCCAGGUGUGUGUGUUCUCCCCAGGUGUGUGUGUUCUCCCCCAGGUGUGUGUGUUUUCCCCAGGUGUGUGUGCUCCCCUAGGUGUGUGUGUUCUCCCCAGGUGUGUGUGUUCUCCCCAGGUGUGUGUGUUCUCCCCAGGUGUGUGUGUUCUCCCCCAGGUGUGUGUGUUCUCCCCCAGGUGUGUGUGUGCUCCCC